rnacentral:lncRNA from 1 species
UGCAGGAAAACAAAGGAUUGAUGAUGGCAGCAAGAUGCAACGCCAGGGAAGUCACCAAAAACCGGGGCAGAAAAUUUUCUGCCGAUUGUCAAAAAAAUUUCUCGGAAGAACGGGGAAACAAUUUCAAAUACUUUUAAGUUCUAGGUCGCCCACCAGUAUAAUGCGGGAAUACUUUUAAGUUCUAGGUCGCCCACCAGUAUAAUGCGGGAAUACUUUUAAGUUCUAGGUCGCCCACCAGUAUAAUGCGGGAAUACUUUUAAGUUCUAGGUCGCCCACCAGUAUAAUGCGGGAAUACAUUUAAGUUCUAGGUCGCCCACCAGUAAAAUGCGGGAAUACAUUUAAGUUCUAGGUCGCCCACCAGUA